GCAUUAUAUGAUGCUGGGACAGAGGGAGACCUGGAGGGGAGCCAGAGAGGACAUUUUUUGUUUAUAGAACAAGUGGACUACUGCAGAGCACAACCUGGCCCCAUAAACUCACAUCCUUGUGCGUUCUGUUGGGGUGCAGCUGUGCUAUGUUCUACAACAUGCACAAAGUUCACAUAGAAUCAAGAAGAAAGAUCCGAGACCGGGUUUAAACUCCUCAACAGCACGGUGCCUGCCUGUCUACAAAGUAUCCUUGGAAAUUCCAGUAGACAGCUAGUCCUUAAGGUGGUGAUGGAGGAACACUUGAAAGAAGAUGAACACAUGGACACGCCUACACUGAAACAUGGCCUCAAAGUCCCUUCAAAAAUUGCAUCAGGACUCCUUGAAGAGAAACUGCAAAGAACUUCAAAAUUAGGAAAGCAUCAGAAUCAGGAGGAAAGGAAAAAGGAUAUCAGACAGGCUGGACAAAGAAGUGUAUCCUGGAGAGAGAAAGGGAGACCCCUCAGUUAUACCCCGGUUUGCGGAGGAACAUAUAGAAUACUUUAAGGACAUCUAGGAAGACUUAUUUUUAGAAAUUGCUUGGUGCUAAUGGUGUACAAGGAUUUCUACUACAUGAC
rnacentral:lncRNA from 1 species